CGAACGAGUUCUCGUUGAUGAUCGGUGCUUGCACCGAGAUUCAACAUGGAACGAGUGGCGGACGGGUGAGUAACACGUGGGUAACCUGCCCUUAAGUGGGGGAUAACAUUUGGAAACAGAUGCUAAUACCGCAUAGAUCCAAGAACCGCAUGGUUCUUGGCUGAAAGAUGGCGUAAGCUAUCGCUUUUGGAUGGACCCGCGGCGUAUUAGCUAGUUGGUGAGGUAAUGGCUCACCAAGGCGAUGAUACGUAGCCGAACUGAGAGGUUGAUCGGCCACAUUGGGACUGAGACACGGCCCAAACUCCUACGGGAGGCAGCAGUAGGGAAUCUUCCACAAUGGACGCAAGUCUGAUGGAGCAACGCCGCGUGAGUGAAGAAGGCUUUCGGGUCGUAAAACUCUGUUGUUGGAGAAGAAUGGUCGGCAGAGUAACUGUUGCCGGCGUGACGGUAUCCAACCAGAAAGCCACGGCUAACUACGUGCCAGCAGCCGCGGUAAUACGUAGGUGGCAAGCGUUAUCCGGAUUUAUUGGGCGUAAAGCGAGCGCAGGCGGUUUUUUAAGUCUGAUGUGAAAGCCCUCGGCUUAACCGAGGAAGCGCAUCGGAAACUGGGAAACUUGAGUGCAGAAGAGGACAGUGGAACUCCAUGUGUAGCGGCGAAAUGCGUAGAUAUAUGGAAGAACACCAGUGGCGAAGGCGGCUGUCUGGUCUG
rnacentral:rRNA from 1 species